UUGGUUUUGGCUAAUUUACUUUGCUGGGGUGGAAAAGGUCACAAAUUUUGGCUGCCUUGCAGCAAAUUUGUAAAUAUUGUCUGUACAACUAUUUUACGGUGUAUUUGCAAAAACGGUAACGCCUUGCAAUACAGCAUCAUCGAAGAGAAAUGGUCUACUUAGAUAACUUUAAACUCAGGGGAAGGUCACAACUGAAUUGUAAAUUCCAGUUCCAUCGCCUGCACAAUCGAAGAGGAGUAUCAUUUGGUGUUUCGUUGUUGAGUUUUACUGCUAAAUGUUGCUAAUCUUUCGCCGAAUCUUCAUUAUCGAUGUUUAUUUAAUUUAAUUCCGAUAAAUUGCAGAUCAUAAAUAGUAUGUACAGCAUACUAUGUAGUAUCAAAAUAAAGUAGUAUUUGCGGGAUUUCGCAUCUGACCGUUUAUUGCUUUGUGCUACCCUACAUUAAUAGAAUACUUAAUUGGUAGAAUAACGGUGCAAGCAUGUGUUUCACGUACUGUUUCCCGUAGGGAUCGGCAGCACAAGGAUGCCGAGUAUCCGAGACUUUUGAUGCGGUUUUAUUUCGCACAAAGCACAUGACUCUGGUGUUGAAUUAUUAAAUAAUGGAUACUCACCGGAGUUGGGAAGAAAGACAGUCUGUCGUUCUUUCCUACUUUCUCCUGAACAAGAGAAAGCAAUUUGCCAAAUAAAGUGCAAAGUUCAGUAGUAGGUCAAAAGUCAUUAAAUAUGAAUCAUUUAUAUCACCUUCACUGCAGCCAUGGACGGAAAAGUCGUCGAAUUUGUAAAUCAAAUUAUCUGUGCAACAACAUGUAAAAAUAGAACAGUUCCAACAUAUUGUGCGGCAGAAAAGUAAAUAAUGACGUAAAUAGUUUACGUAUUUUUCCAUGUGCAUAUAUCCAUCAUCUAUUAUUCUCUUUGGCACCCACCAGUUUGCAUUGAUAUUGCAUUUAAUUUCUUCUUUUGUUUGCACUUUGUUUGAGGAAAACUAAUAAAUUGGUUCGAUUCUCUUGGUUUCGUAGUUUACUUCAACAGCACCCAACUGGCAGCUUCCCAAAUUCCGUAGGCUUUGUUCCGAAGCUCCUUUCAGGAUCAAAAAUGGUCCAAAAAGAAGCAAGUAUUUCAUUUACUCACUCGAACAAAAUAUUUCCCACUCGUCUCAAGGCGUGGAUUUCAUCCUUUUCUAUUUUAUUGUGAGAUACGUUGCAAUUAGUUUUCGGGGAAGAGAGAAAAGUUUGUUCUUUUGAAUGGAAGAUUGACGUAAUUAAUUGAGUUUCGGUUCUUUUCAAUCUCAAUCUCAACGAAUGGUUGGCGAGAGUAAGUUGGUCCCUUUAAUAACUUCGUGACCCAACACUCAAAUUAAAUUAGCCCACUCACCAGGAACGGAAUACGGUAUUAUGCAUGCGGUAUACAUAACUGGAUAAAAUGGUGGUAGAAAUAAAUUAAUUACAAAAUUCAAAUUAGUUUCACUUUUGAAAUUUUGCGUUUGCUUUCAGAUUAGCUCUCUUAUGGCACUACUGCCAUUUAAGAACUAUGUAUGAAUUACAUUCAGAAUAGUAAGUUUCCUUCUUAUUUAGUAUGCAAAGAACAUGUGUCUACCUUGUAACUUUCUAUUAUAAAUUGAGUAUGACAAUCCUAUUAAUGGAUACCCAGCAUGAUUAAAGCUGAUUGUAGAGAUUGCACACUGUGUUUAGGAUUAGUGGUAGCAAAUUCCAUAAAGAACAAUAGGUCACCAGACCACUGUUACUACCUGAUACUUACAAAUAUGGUAAAUAAAUACGUAAGAGAUAUUGCGUCUAUUUGUGCAUAUCAGUUUAUCAGUUGGGCAUUAAUUUAUUAUUGUUUGUUCCGAGGAGCGCCGGACCAAAUUAUAAACUUAUCGCGUACUGGAUAUCAAUGAUGUAUUUAUGAUGGUCGUGUGCUCUGCAAGUAUAAUUUAGUCUACAGAUUGAACAAAUUGAACACCAUUCUGCCCUUUAGAAUUUUGUUUAACGUCUCAUUCUCUUGAACUUUAUGGUAAAAAAAGUUUAUGACAUAAUCCGUUUAAAUAAAUAGAUGAACAUCUUGA